rnacentral:rRNA from 1 species
GCAAAAAAAGUAUUAAAGGUCAGACCUGCCCAGUGAACACUUCAACGGCCGCGGUAUCCUAACCGUGCGAAGGUAGCAUAAUCACUUGUCUUCUAAAUAAAGACUAGUAUGAACGGUCAAAUGAGUACGGAACUGUCUCCUUAAGAAGAUCAGUGAAACUGAACCUCCAGUCCAAAUGCUGGAAUAAGCCUAUAAGACGAAAAGACCCCGCGGAGCUUUCAAACUAACUACGAAGCCCACAAUCGUAUUAACGUUUUCAGUUGGGGCAACUUUGGAGACAAAGACAACCUCCAAGCACAAAGCCACAAACCUUUCAUUGAGGCAAACAAGCCUAUUAAACCUAAAUCGACCCGGUCCUUACACCCACCGAAAAACGAACCAAGUUACCCCGGGGAUAACAGCGCCAUCCUCUUUUAGAGUCCCUAUCAACAAGAGGGCUGACGACCUCGAUGUUGGAUCAGGACACCCAAAUGGUGCAGAAGCUAUUAAUGGUUCGUUUGUUCAACGAUUAAAGUCCUACGUGAUCGUC